AAGGAGUCCAACACGCAUGCGAGUCUUUGGGUGGCAAACCCACGGGCGCAAUGAAAGUGAAAGGGUGUGACUCUUCUCCUUCUGGGAGAGAAGGCAACACCGACCGGUCUUGAUCUCACGUGAUGGAUCUGAGUGAGAGCAUGCGUGCUGGGACCCGAAAGAUGGUGAACUAUUCCUGGGUAGGGUGAAGCCAGAGGAAACUCUGGUGGAGGCUCGCAGCGGUUCUGACGUGCAAAUCGAUCGUCGAACCUGGGAAUAGGGGCGAAAGACUAAUCGAACCAUCUAGUAGCUGGUUCCCUC
rnacentral:sRNA from 1 species